rnacentral:rRNA from 1 species
GAUGAACGCUGGCGGCGUGCCUAAUACAUGCAAGUCGAGCGAACAGACGAGGAGCUUGCUCCUCUGACGUUAGCGGCGGACGGGUGAGUAACACGUGGAUAACCUACCUAUAAGACUGGGAUAACUUCGGGAAACCGGAGCUAAUACCGGAUAACAUGUUGAACCGCAUGGUUCAACAGUGAAAGACGGUCUUGCUGUCGCUUAUAGAUGGAUCCGCGCCGCAUUAGCUAGUUGGUAAGGUAACGGCUUACCAAGGCAACGAUGCGUAGCCGACCUGAGAGGGUGAUCGGCCACACUGGAACUGAGACACGGUCCAGACUCCUACGGGAGGCAGCAGUAGGGAAUCUUCCGCAAUGGGCGAAGGCCUGACGGAGCAACGCCGCGUGAGUGAAGAAGGUCUUCGGAUCGUAAAACUCUGUUAUUAGGGAAGAACAAAUGUGUAAGUAACUAUGCACGUCUUGACGGUACCUAAUCAGAAAGCCACGGCUAACUACGUG